GAUGAACGCUAGCGAUAGGCUUAACACAUGCCAGUCGAGGGGCAGCAUGGUCUUAGCUUGCUAAGACUGAUGGCGACCGGCGCACGGGUGCGUAACGCGUAUGCAACUUGCCUCACAGAGGGGGUAAACCGGCCGAAAGCGGGACCAUAACCGGGCACCUCCUUUUUGGGGAUCCAAGGUAAGGGGAAAGAAAUUCGCAUGUAGAUAGGCAUGCGUCCCAUUGGCUUGUUGGUGAGGUAACGGCUCACCAAGGCGACGAUGGGUAGGGGAACUGAGAGGGUGAACCCCCACACUGGUACUGAGAAACGGACCAGACUCCUACGGGAGGCAGCAGUGAGGAAUAUUGGUCAAUGGGCGAGAGCCUGAACCAGCCAAGUCGCGUGAAGGAUGACUGUCUUAUGGAUUGUAAACUUCUUUUGUAGGGGAAUAAAGAGGGGCACGUGUGCCCCAGUGAAUGUACCCUACGAAUAAGCAUCGGCUAACUCCGUG
rnacentral:rRNA from 1 species